UACGGGGGGGGCAAGCGUUGUUCGGAAUUACUGGGCGUAAAGGGCUCGUAGGCGGUUUCUUAAGUCUGAUGUGAAAGCCCCACAGCUCAACUGUGGAGGGUCAUUGGAAACUGGGGAACUUGAGUGCAGAAGAGGAGAGUGGAAUUCCACGUGUAGCGGUGAAAUGCGUAGAUAUGUGGAGGAACACCAGUGGCGAAGGCGAGUCUCUGGACGACUCCUGACACUGAGGCACGAAAGCUAGGGGAGCAAACAGG
rnacentral:rRNA from 1 species